AGUGGCGCACGGGUGAGUAACGCGUAGAUGAUCUACCCUUCAGUCUGGGACAACUCUUGGAAACGGGAGCUAAUACCGGAUAAAACCUUCGGGUUGAAAGAUUUAUCGCUGGGGGAUGAGUCUGCGUACCAUUAGCUUGUUGGUGGGGUAACGGCCUACCAAGGCGACGAUGGUUAGCGGGUCUGAGAGGACGAUCCGCCACACUGGAACUGAGACACGGUCCAGACUCCUACGGGAGGCAGCAGUAGGGAAUAUUGCGCAAUGGGGGCAACCCUGACGCAGCAAUGCCGCGUGAGUGAAGAAGGCCUUCGGGUCGUAAAGCUCUUUUAUGGGGGAAGAUGAUGACGGUACCCCAUGAAUAAGCACCGGCUAACUACGUGCCAGCAGCCGCGGUAAUACGAAGGGACCUAGCGUAGUUCGGAAUUACUGGGCUUAAAGAGCUCGUAGGUGGUUAAAAAAGUUGAUUGUGAAAUCCCAAGGCUUAACCUUGGAACUGCAAUCAAAACUUUUUAGCUAGAGUGUGAUAGAGGAAAGUGGAAUUUCUAGUGUAGAGGUGAAAUUCGUAGAUAUUAGAAAGAACACCAAAUGCGAAGGCAACUUUCUGGAUCAUUACUGACACUGAGGAGCGAAAGCAUGGGUAGCGAAGAGGAUUAGAUACCCUCGUAGUCCAUGCUGUAAACGAUGUGUGCUAGACGUUGGAAGCAUAGCUUUCAGUGUCGCAGCGAAAGCAUUAAGCACACCGCCUGGGGAGUACGACCGCAAGGUUAAAACUCAAAUGAAUUGACGGGGACCCGCACAAGCAGUGGAGCAUGUGGUUUAAUUCGAAGAUACGCGCAGAACCUUACCAACACUUGACAUGUUCGUCGCGAGCCUAAGAGAUUAGGCUUUUCAGUUUGGCUGGACGAAACACAGGUGCUGCAUGGCUGUCGUCAGCUCGUGUCGUGAGAUGUUGGGUUAAGUCCCGCAACGAGCGCAACCCUCACUUUUAGUUGCCAUCAUUAAGUUGGGCACUCUGAAAGAACUGCCAGUGAUAAGCUGGAGGAAGGUGGGGAUGACGUCAAGUCCUCAUGGCCCUUACGUGUUGGGCUACACACGUGCUACAAUGGUAUCUACAACAGGAAGCAAAACGGCGACGUUUAGCAAAUCCUUAAAAGAUACCUCAGUUCGGAUUGCACUCUGCAACUCGAGUGCAUGAAGCUGGAAUUACUAGUAAUCGUGGAUCAGCGUGCCACGGUGAAUGCGUUCCCGGGUCUUGUACACACCGCCCGUCACACCAUGGGAGUUGGUUCUACCUUAAGGC
rnacentral:rRNA from 1 species